GACGAACGCUGGCGGCGUGCUUAACACAUGCAAGUCGAACGGAAAGGCCCCUUUGGGGGUACUCGAGUGGCGAACGGGUGAGUAACACGUGAGUAACCUGCCCUUGACUUCGGGAUAACUUCAGGAAACUGGGGCUAAUACCGGAUAGGAAUCCUUGCUGCAUGGUGGGGGUUGGAAAGCUUCGGCGGUUUUGGAUGGACUCGCGGCUUAUCAGCUUGUUGGUGGGGUAGUGGCUUACCAAGGCUUUGACGGGUAGCCGGCCUGAGAGGGCGACCGGCCACAGUGGGACUGAGAUACGGCCCAGACUCCGACGGGAGGCAGCAGUGGGGAAUAUUGCACAAUGGGCGGAAGCCGGAUGCAGCAACGCCGCGUGCGGGAUGACGGCCUUCGGGUUGUAAACCGCUUUCAGCAGGGGCGAAGCUUGUGGUGACGGUACCUGCAGAAGAAGCACCGGCUAACUACGUG
rnacentral:rRNA from 1 species